AGAAAUGAUUUCCAUAGAGAGGAGGCUUUGCAUGGUCAGCUGAUCCUCCAGUCAACUGAGAAGGUUUAUAGUCGUGUGAGUUCAACACUGCAGGACUCAGAUCUGUCAGUCAACACAGCAGAAACCACAACCACCAUGACUCUCAUCACCAUCCUCAUCUGGACGCUGGCCUGCUGCUGCUUCACAGGAUGCAGUGGUCAGGUGACUGUGACUCAGCCUCCAGUAGAGACAUCUACUCCAGGAUCCACUGUCACUAUGACCUGUAAGACCAGCCAGGAUGUUGUCACAUAUAGUGGUAAUCAGCUUAUGUCCUGGUAUCAACAGAAAUCUGGACAAACUCCAAAGCUCCUGAUAUAUUAUGGAAGCACACGUCAAUCAGGAACACCAGAUCGGUUUAGUGGCAGUGGAAGCAACUCUGACUUCUCUUUGACCAUCAGUGGAGUUCAGGCUGAAGAUGCAGCAGUUUACUACUGUCAGAGUUACCAUUAUAUUAACAGUGCUGUUGUGUUCACACAGUGA